UCCACAGAGCGCUUCCUAUCCUCGCGCACUGGGGAGGGCUGUCACAGAUCCUCCGGUCACGGGUGAGAAUGGCGCUGAUCACUUUACUGCUCUGUACACUUCUAUUAGAAGGAAGUUUUGGAAACACAAUUACUCCAAUAUCCGGUGUGGAAAAUGUUAAACAAGGAGAUAAUGUGACCCUCCAGUGCAACUACACGGGUGCUGUAAACAAUUUGCAAUGGUACCGCCAGUAUCCCGGACAGGCUUUGGAGUACCUGCUGAUGAGCUUUGAAACGGGUGGUGGAUCUAAAGCAAACGAGGAAGAACAUCGAAUCUCAGGAGAGGUUGAUAAAGUCAAUAAACACAUGUUUCUAAAACUGAUAGACACUAAAGUGACUGACGCAGCCGUGUACUACUGCGCCCUGCGCCCCACAGUGACAGAAACCCAUCCAGCACUGUACAAAAACUACCUGACACUGAAACACAAGCUGCUCUUCACAAACUGACAUAUUUUACCAGGAGGUGGCGCUGUUGUGCCAUGAAACAAACUUGUUCAUAAAGUCAAGGUUGUGUACUCUGAAUCUCCAAUGCCUUCAAUCAUCUCCAAUAGAAACCAAAAGGCCCGGUCACACGGGCGACUUGUACACGGCAACAAGAGGAACACAUAUGUUGCGUGUGUGUUGCCUUGCAGUUUGCAGUGGUCACAUGAGAGACAAUCAUGCGGUCGACAAGCUGGCAACACACAGGCAACAACGUAAUGCAACCCAUAAUGCACGUUUGUGUCACGAGACCUAAACAUGCAGCGAAACGCGUAGAUCCUUCUUAAUUAAAUAAAAAGGUGAACAUCAUUAGUGUUAUUUGGUUAGUAGGUCUACAUAUUUAAUAUGCCAAACAUAAUAAAUAUAUUGGUUUUCAUUAUCCUAAGCAAUGUUUCCAAUACUUUUAAUAUAGGCUUUCGAGAGCAAGAAGGCAGACCUGAGAUUUAAAAUAAAUAAAUAAAUAAAUAACUUAAUUUACUGUUAAAAUGAAAGAUGUUAUGCUUGGGGGUUAAUGUUAAGGAAUACCGCAUACAAGGCAAAUUAAUUUAAAAUAAAACAGAGAGAGAGAGAGAGAGAGAGAGAGAGAGAGAGAGAGAG